GGGAAAGUGGCUCAGUGGUGGAGUGCUUGCCUUGCAUGCAUGAGGCCCUGGGUUCGAUUCCUCAGUACCA
rnacentral:tRNA from 1 species